UACGGAGGGUGCAAGCGUUAUCCGGAUUCACUGGGCUUAAAGGGUGCGUAGGAGGGCAGGUAAGUCAGUGGUGAAAUCUCCAAGCUUAACUUGGAAACUGCCGUUGAUACUAUCUGUCUUGAAUAUUGUGGAGGUGAGCGGAAUAUGUCAUGUAGCGGUGAAAUGCUUAGAUAUGACACAGAACACCAAUUGCGAAGGCAGCUCACUACUCAAUCAUUGACUCUGAGGCACGAAAGCGUGGGGAUCAAACAGG
rnacentral:rRNA from 1 species